rnacentral:rRNA from 1 species
AGGAUGAACGCUAGCUACAGGCUUAACACAUGCAAGUCGAGGGGAAACGACAUCGAAAGCUUGCUUUUGAUGGGCGUCGACCGGCGCACGGGUGAGUAACGCGUAUCCAACCUGCCCACCACUUGGGGAUAACCUUGCGAAAGUAAGACUAAUACCCAAUGACGUCUCUAGAAGACAUCUGAAAGAGAUUAAAGAUUUAUCGGUGAUGGAUGGGGAUGCGUCUGAUUAGCUUGUUGGCGGGGUAACGGCCCACCAAGGCGACGAUCAGUAGGGGUUCUGAGAGGAAGGUCCCCCACAUUGGAACUGAGACACGGUCCAAACUCCUACGGGAGGCAGCAGUGAGGAAUAUUGGUCAAUGGACGAGAGUCUGAACCAGCCAAGUAGCGUGCAGGAUGACGGCCCUAUGGGUUGUAAACUGCUUUUAUAAGGGAAUAAAGUGAGUCUCGUGAGACUUUUUGCAUGUACCUUAUGAAUAAGGACCGGCUAAUUCCGUGCCAGCAGCCGCGGUAAUACGGAAGGUCCGGGCGUUAUCCGGAUUUAUUGGGUUUAAAGGGAGCGUAGGCCGGAGAUUAAGCGUGUUGUGAAAUGUAGACGCUCAACGUCUGCACUGCAGCGCGAACUGGUUUCCUUGAGUACGCACAAAGUGGGCGGAAUUCGUGGUGUAGCGGUGAAAUGCUUAGAUAUCACGAAGAACUCCGAUUGCGAAGGCAGCUCACUGGAGCGCAACUGACGCUGAAGCUCGAAAGUGCGGGUAUCGAACAGGAUUAGAUACCCUGGUAGUCCGCACGGUAAACGAUGGAUGCCCGCUGUUGGUCUGAAUAGGUCAGCGGCCAAGCGAAAGCAUUAAGCAUCCCACCUGGGGAGUACGCCGGCAACGGUGAAACUCAAAGGAAUUGACGGAA